GGGAGCUCCCCUGAGGAUAGAAGGUCCGGGCUUUUUAGGACAGGACUAUCCCUGCUAAGCCAUCCAAUAUACUCCUCCUUCAUCCUGACCUUCAGUCUCCUUGUCCACACAUUUGACCCUGAAGGGAUUAGGCCACUUCCCAGAUGAGACCCAGAAAUGAGGAGGAAAAUCAGCCUGAACAGGUGCUCAGAGCCACGGUGACAAGGAGAGAAAUCCCUGUGGAUACUGGUGGAGGCAUUUCCAAGUGGACAUGGGCUGUGCCCUGUGGUGGUGAUUUUGCUGAACUCUUAAAGAACAGGAGGCCUCAGUAGACUGGGACUGGGGGACAGUCAGGGACAGGCCCAUGCUAGAAAAAGCUGCUGGUUGGGCAAAUCAGGCAGCUGGCUUCCCUGAGAGUUGGGGUAUCUGCCCUGGCUGGUGCAGUCCACCCGUUUCUUGGAAAUCCAAGCUCCUUAACACAGCUCGAUACGGAGUCUUCCCGCCCCUGGCCCUAGUCUUUCCCUCCAGCCUCCAGCAUCCUUCUUCCUACUCUUGGAUCUGG
rnacentral:lncRNA from 1 species